GAUGAACGCUGGCGGCGUGCCUAAUACAUGCAAGUCGAGCGAACAGAUAAGGAGCUUGCUCCUUUGACGUUAGCGGCGGACGGGUGAGUAACACGUGGAUAACCUACCUAUAAGACUGGGAUAACUUCGGGAAACCGGAGCUAAUACCGGAUAACAUAUUGAACCGCAUGGUUCAAUAGUGAAAGGCGGCUUUGCUGUCACUUAUAGAUGGAUCCGCGCCGUAUUAGCUAGUUGGUAAGGUAACGGCUUACCAAGGCAACGAUACGUAGCCGACCUGAGAGGGUGAUCGGCCACACUGGAACUGAGACACGGUCCAGACUCCUACGGGAGGCAGCAGUAGGGAAUCUUCCGCAAUGGGCGAAAGCCUGACGGAGCAACGCCGCGUGAGUGAUGAAGGUCUUCGGAUCGUAAAACUCUGUUAUCAGGGAAGAACAAAUGUGUAAGUAACUGUGCACAUCUUGACGGUACCUGAUUAGAAAGCCACGGCUAACUACGUG
rnacentral:rRNA from 1 species